rnacentral:rRNA from 1 species
CCACGGGUGAGUAACACGUAUCCAACCUGCCGUCUACUCUUGGACAGCCUUCUGAAAGGAAAGAUAAUACAAGAUGGCAUCAUGAGUCCGCAUGUUCACAUGAUUAAAGGUAUUCCGGUAGACGAUGGGGAUGCGUUCCAUUAGAUAGUAGGCGGGGUAACGGCCCACCUAGUCUUCGAUGGAUAGGGGUUCUGAGAGGAAGGUCCCCCACAUUGGAACUGAGACACGGUCCAA